rnacentral:rRNA from 1 species
GAUGAACGCUGGCGGCGUGCCUAAUACAUGCAAGUCGAGCGAACAGACGAGGCGCUUGCUCCUCUGUCGUUAGCGGCGGACGGGUGAGUCACACGUGGAUCACCUACCUAUCAGACUGGGAUCACUUCGGGAAUCCGGAGCUAAUCGCGUAUAAUAUAUUGAACCGUGGGGUGCGAUAGUGAAAGACGGCUUUGCUGUCUCGUCUAGCUGGAUCCGCGCCGCAUUAGGUAGUUGGUACGGUACCGGCUUAUCAAGGGGAUGAUGCGUAGCCGAGCUGAGAGGGGGAUCGGCCACACUGGAGCUGAGACGCGGCCCAGACUCCGAGGGGAGGCAGCAGUAGGGAAUCGAGCGAGAUGGGCGGAAUACUGACGGAGGAACGCCGCGUGAGUGAUGAAGGUCGGCGGAUCGUAAAACUCUGUUAUGAGGGAAGAACAAAUGUGUAAGUAACGAUGCACGUCUGGACGGUACCUAAACAGAAAGACACGGCUAACUACG